rnacentral:tRNA from 1 species
UCCCUGGAGGACUAGUGGUUAGGCCUCGGUGCUCUCACCGCCAUGACCUGGGUUCGAUGCCCAGCCAGGGAA